GGAUUGAUCAGGAAAUAUGGGAACCGAGAGCCAGACGCCGGUGUCAAAAUCGGGAAAUGUUACUGCUGAAACGAAAAAACUGAAACCGUGUUGUGCUUGUCCGGAAACUAAAAAAGCGCGGGACACUUGCAUUAUGGAACGUGGUGAGGAGAACUGUCAGAGCUAUAUAGAAGCUCAUAAGGAGUGCAUGAGGAAAAUGGGAUUCAAUAUCUAAAAGUGUAACUGUAAAAUCAUGUUUCUUCUCCAUAAAUUAUUCAUCAUUGAUUAACAUAAAGUUUUAGUGCUGUUCUUUCAACUAUGAUAUGAGAAAAACAUUAAUAGCUCAUUGUGCUGGACUGUUAAAGAUUUGUUGAGACAACAAUUUGGAAAAUGUGUUGUCCAAUGAAACUAUUAUAUGGAACAGUACCUACUUAAUACCAAAUGAGUCCCUACACAAAAUUGUUUCCUUAGUUACCUUUUGUCUGUAAUUUCUAGUCAAUGCAUAAAAGUUAGUUGUAAAGAAAGUGAUGUUUCAUUUAAGAUGGGAUUGGAAAAAUGCAUGCAGUUACUGCAUCUCACAAGCAGAUUGCAUAUAAUUGUAGUGUAAAUAAUUCAUUAAUGAUCUAAGGCCUGUACAGAUGAAAUAAUGUAUACUGACAGUUUCUUGUUUGUCAGACAGUGUGAUAGUUUUGUGUCUGUUCUGCAGAAUUGGCUGUUGCAUUAUUAACUAAAUAAAAUGUUGUUAUAGGA